UACGUAGGAGGCGAGCGUUGUCCGGAGUUACUGGGCGUAAAGGGUGCGCAGGCGGUGGCCCGCGUGGGCGGUGAAAGCUCCUGGCUCAACUGGGAGAGGGCCGUCCAGACGGGGGUCACUUGAGGGGCGGAGAGGGGCGUGGAAUUCCGGGUGGAGCGGUGAAAUGCGUAGAGAUCAGAAGGAACAUCAGUGGCGAAAGCGGCUUCCUGGUCCAGCGCCGACGUUCGAGGCACGGAAAGCGUGGGGAGCAAACACGG
rnacentral:rRNA from 1 species